GACGAACGCUGGCGGCGUGCUUAACACAUGCAAGUCGAACGGAAAGGCCCUGCUUUUGUGGGGUGCUCGAGUGGCGAACGGGUGAGUAACACGUGAGUAACCUGCCCUUGACUUUGUGAUAACUUCAGGAAACUGGGGCUAAUACCGGAUAGGAGCUCCUGCUGCAUGGUGGUGGUUGGAAAGUUUCGGCGGUUGUGGAUGGACUCGCGGCUUAUCAGCUUGUUGGUGGGGUAGUGGCUUACCAAGGUUUUGACGGGUAGCCGGCCUGAGAGGGUGACCGGCCACAUGGGGACUGAGAUACGGCGCAGACUCGUACGGGAGGCAGCAGUGGGGAAUAUUGCACAAUGGGCGGAAGCCUGAUGCAGCAGCGCCGCGUGCGUGAUGACGGCUUUCGGGUUGUAAACCGAUUUCGCCUGUGACGAAGCGUGAGUGACGGUAAUGGGUAAAGAAGCACCGGCUAACUACGUG
rnacentral:rRNA from 1 species